rnacentral:rRNA from 1 species
GUCGAGCGAACAGACGAGGAGCUUGCUUCUCUGACGUUAGCGGCGGACGGGUGAGUAACACGUGGAUAACCUACCUAUAAGACUGGGAUAACUUCGGGAAACCGGAGCUAAUACCGGAUAAUAUAUUGAACCGCAUGGUUCAAUAGUGAAAGACGGUUUUGCUGUCACUUAUAGAUGGAUCCGCGCCGCAUUAGCUAGUUGGUAAGGUAACGGCUUACCAAGGCAACGAUGCGUAGCCGACCUGAGAGGGUGAUCGGCCACACUGGAACUGAGACACGGUCCAGACUCCUACGGGAGGCAGCAGUAGGGAAUCUUCCGCAAUGGGCGAAAGCCUGACGGAGCAACGCCGCGUGAGUGAUGAAGGUCUUCGGAUCGUAAAACUCUGUUAUUAGGGAAGAACAAAUGUGUAAGUAACUAUGCACGUCUUGACGGUACCUAAUCAGAAAGCCACGGCUAACUACGUGCCAGCAGCCGCGGUAAUACGUAGGUGGCAAGCGUUAUCCGGAAUUAUUGGGCGUAAAGCGCGCGUAGGCGGUUUUUUAAGUCUGAUGUGAAAGCCCACGGCUCAACCGUGGAGGGUCAUUGGAAACUGGAAAACUUGAGUGCAGAAGAGGAAAGUGGAAUUCCAUGUGUAGCGGUGAAAUGCGCAGAGAUAUGGAGGAACACCAGUGGCGAAGGCGACUUUCUGGUCUGUAACUGACGCUGAUGUGCGA